UACGUAGGUGGCAAGCGUUGUCCGGAAUCACUGGGCUUAAAGGGCGCGUAGGCGGGCGCACAAGUCAGGGGUGAAAGCCCACGGCUCAACCGUGGAAGGGCCUUUGAUACUGUGUGUCUUGAGGGAGGUAGGGGCGUGCGGAACUUCCGGUGGAGCGGUGAAAUGCGUAGAUAUCGGAAGGAACACCGGUGGCGAAAGCGGCGCGCUGGACCUCUUCUGACGCUGAGGCGCGAAAGCCAGGGGAGCAAACGGG
rnacentral:rRNA from 1 species